GAUUAACUAGGUUCCUAAUAAGCUCAAGGAUUAAAAGGGAAAAAGGUGAUAUGCCUUUGCAGCCCCCGCUACUGUGAAACAGACGAAACUAUUAUAAACCACUGUCAAUUAAGAUGGGAAGGUAUAGGAUUAGAAUGAAGUUAAGCCAGGAGACCUGCCUAUAUUAAUU
rnacentral:ncRNA from 1 species